rnacentral:misc_RNA from 1 species
GAGACUGGUUGGGUAACACCUUCCAAACCUCCCACCCUUUGUUUACAUUACCUUUGUUGCUUUGGCAGGCCCGUCUUUGGACCGCCGGCUUCGGCUGGCCAGCGCUUGCCAGAGGACCUAAACUCUGUUUGUCUAUAAUGUCUGAGUACUAUAUAAUAGUUAAAACUUUCAACAACGGAUCUCUUGGUUCU